GAUGAACGCUGGCGGCGUGCUUAACACAUGCAAGUCGAACGAAGAGCGACGGAAGCUUGCUUCUAUCAAUCUUAGUGGCGAACGGGUGAGUAACGCGUAAUCAACCUGCCCUUCAGAGGGGGACAACAGUUGGAAACGACUGCUAAUACCGCAUACGAUCUAACCUCGGCAUCGAGGAUAGAUGAAAGGUGGCCUCUACAUGUAAGCUAUCACUGAAGGAGGGGAUUGCGUCUGAUUAGCUAGUUGGAGGGGUAACGGCCCACCAAGGCGAUGAUCAGUAGCCGGUCUGAGAGGAUGAACGGCCACAUUGGGACUGAGACACGGCCCAGACUCCUACGGGAGGCAGCAGUGGGGAAUCUUCCGCAAUGGACGAAAGUCUGACGGAGCAACGCCGCGUGAGGGAUGACGGCCUUCGGGUUGUAAAGCUCUGUUAAUCGGGACGAAAGGCCUUCUUGCGAAUAGUGAGAAGGAUUGACGGUACCGGAAUAGAAAGCCACGGCUAACUACGUG
rnacentral:rRNA from 1 species